rnacentral:rRNA from 1 species
AUGAACGCUGGCGGCGUGCCUAAUACAUGCAAGUCGAGCGAACAGACGAGGAGCUUGCUCCUCUGACGUUAGCGGCGGACGGGUGAGUAACACGUGGAUAACCUACCUAUAAGACUGGGAUAACUUCGGGAAACCGGAGCUAAUACCGGAUAAUAUAUUGAACCGCAUGGUUCAAUAGUGAAAGACGGUUUUGCUGUCACUUAUAGAUGGAUUCGCGCCGCAUUAGCUAGUUGGUAAGGUAACGGCUUACCAAGGCGACGAUGCGUAGCCGACCUGAGAGGGUGAUCGGCCACACUGGAACUGAGACACGGUCCAGACUCCUACGGGAGGCAGCAGUAGGGAAUCUUCCGCAAUGGGCGAAAGCCUGACGGAGCAACGCCGCGUGAGUGAUGAAGGUCUUCGGAUCGUAAAACUCUGUUAUUAGGGAAGAACAAAUGUGUAAGUAACUAUGCACGUCUUGACGGUACCUAAUCAGAAAGCCACGGCUAACUACGUG